rnacentral:tRNA from 3 species
GGAGAGAUGGUCGAGUUGGUUUAAGGCACCGGUCUUGAAAACCGGCGUAGGGGCAACCCUACCUAGGGUUCGAAUCCCUAUCUCUCCGCCA